CGUAAGCAUGUCGUCUUAAUUGAGCUCUUAUUUCCAGUUUCUAUGUUCGGAUGCACACUUUGCCAUGUUUGGGUAGUUGGAUUAGACAAUAAUAGGGAGUAUCACACAGCUUUUCUCCUUUCAAUGUAUGAGGUAUCAAGGAUCUGGUUACUGUAGUUUGACAUGAUAAUAUCUGUCUUGAACUAUUCUGAGAUGGAACGAGAACUCUAAUUUCUUUUGGAAUUCUAUUUGGUAGUUAUUCGAACGAGAAAUCAGAAGCCCGCAUCUCUGAUUUACCUGCCGAAGCUAAUGUCGAUGCAUCGUCAAAACGUACACCUGAGGUAUGCCAAAUGUUUAGUUAACUAUGCAUGUGAGAUUCGUCUUUCGACUGCUAUAACCUAUAAUUCUGACUCACCGUCUCUUUUCCCUUGUUUUCUCUGUUAAGGUUUGACAGAAUAGACCAACCGAGACCAGAUGAAGCGAUGAGAAAUCGAUUGCAAGGAGAUAAUUGAAGCCAUCUAUACGAAGGUAACAAGGCUGCAGGUACCGAUCGAGUGUAAAUUCUCUAUGUACUUUGUGCAGAUCUUUUCGGUAUCUGUAUGUGCGCAUUAAUUCUUGACUUGGAAAAUGUAGUUUAACUAGUCAUGCCUAAAACAUGCAGUGUCGACAUUUUUAUAUAAGAAUCUCCACUUUCUCCACUGAUAAAUGUCUGCAGUAUGUCAAUAUAGUUUAUUUGUUCGUUAUGCAGUUUCUUGACUGUUCUCUGUAUUUUUCUUUUUAAUUUAACCAUAAGCUUGAAGCUUUAAAAUUCCUGAACUUCAUUUACUCAUGGUGUCUGCAUCAAAUUAUACGAGACUGGUUGUCUCAUGCGACUGUUGAAAAUGAUUUAAAUAAUUAAAUUUGUCCCCUUUCUAACAUCAUAAACUUUUAAAUGACGUGUUACAACAUGAUCCUAGUGCAGUCAAAAGAUGCGAGUUCAAGUCUCCCUGCCACCUAUUUAUAAUCGUCACAUGUCAGGCCUUUGAUAAAAAUGUAUUCAGCCUGAACUUAAUGCGGCACUUUGAAGGCAGUAUACAUAAUUAAGUUUGUCCUCUUUCUUCAAAAGCUUUUAAGCGAGGUGGUUUGACCGUGUCUAUGCUUUUCAACUUUUGCCUCGUCCACUAGUCUAAUCCUUAAUUAGGUCUCAGUAUUGUUUUUAGCUCUGGUGUAUCUGGUCAAGAGGUUUAGGCAAACCUAUAUAAUUUAGAGAGAGCAAAUUUUGGGUGUGGAGGAAUAUGGCAUGGAUUACUUUACAUGUUGGGAAUGAUCCCCUUCUUUGUACUCUGAAUCGGAAUACUAUGUGGCUUCAGUAGAUUUGAGCUCGUAAAAGAUUUCAAGAUAAAACCAUAAUGUUUUGCUCUCUGCAUAAACAAAUGGCUUGUUUUUCAGGCGGGUUGGAAGCUUUGGCCUUUUGCUCAUCUCGUUACCUACGGUGUGAUCCCUGUUGAACAAAGACUUCUUUGGGUCGACUGUGUGGAGCUCAUUUGGGUGACAAUAUUAUCAACGUAAGCAUGUCGUCUUAAUUGAGCUCUUAUUUCCAGUUUCUAUGUUCGGAUGCACACUUUGCCAUGUUUGGGUAGUUGGAUUAGACAAUAAUAGGGAGUAUCACACAGCUUUUCUCCUUUCAAUGUAUGAGGUAUCAAGGAUCUGGUUACUGUAGUUUGACAUGAUAAUAUCUGUCUUGAACUAUUCUGAGAUGGAACGAGAACUCUAAUUUCUUUUGGAAUUCUAUUUGGUAGUUAUUCGAACGAGAAAUCAGAAGCCCGCAUCUCUGAUUUACCUGCCGAAGCUAAUGUCGAUGCAUCGUCAAAACGUACACCUGAGGUAUGCCAAAUGUUUAGUUAACUAUGCAUGUGAGAUUCGUCUUUCGACUGCUAUAACCUAUAAUUCUGACUCACCGUCUCUUUUCCCUUGUUUUCUCUGUUAAGGUUUGACA
rnacentral:lncRNA from 1 species